ACAGCUACAGCCAACACAA
rnacentral:siRNA from 1 species